UCUGAAGAACAAAAUCUCUCAAAAUUACUGGCCGAUGAGAAGUAUUCAUGUCUUUGAUCAGUUUAUAAUCUAUAAAUCAAAAUAUUUAUAAAUCUGCGGAAGAAAAAACAAUUAUAUGAUAGAUGUUGUAGUCUGAAUUCAGUUAAAACUAGACAUGCUGACAGAAGCUACUCCAUGGUGAGAUGUCUCUCUUCCUUAUUUAUGCAUCUUCUCAACUUCCAUCUUGCCAUUCUAAUGGAAAUGUUCUGCGAUGUGAGUGUGAAGGCUGACUCGCAAUAUAUUGAUUCCGGCGUCACUUCAAGAAACAAAAACAUUUGCCACGAUUGAAAGAUAAAGGCUUAUU
rnacentral:sRNA from 1 species